rnacentral:lncRNA from 1 species
GAAUUCCCAAUUAGUACGAAUAUGAGUGCACUUGGUUAUGUUCAAAGGAAACAGGUAAGCUUCUGAGAGUGAGUAAAAGAUAGUAAAUAAGAUUACAUGUUAUAAAGAGUAUGUAUCGAGUUUUAUAAAAAAAAAAUCAACACUUAAUUUAACCAUUUCUCUCGGGUAAUAUCACAGGCACUCUUCUGAGAAAAAUAAUUCCCUAUAUACCUUGAUAUAACAGGUAUAUGUAAGGGGGCAAGAUCUGAGACGAGUGCCUGUGGGUAAUAUUUACACAUAAAGCAUAUAGAAAAGUUAACUUACAAGAAUGCAAACCUCCGUAGAAAAACAGAAAUUCCCAUAACAAAUGUCAAUAUCAAUAGCUUUUAAAACAUCAAAUGAACGGGGAAAAGGUCACAUUUCUGACUUGGUACAGGCAUUUCAUCAUGAUAUAGAAAAUGGUAGAUUUAAUCUAGUCCAUUCUCGAAUAAUACAAAUACGUUUUAUUAGGUAAUAUAUGAAAAGACAAAUUAUAAUUUCGAUUACUGGUAUACGAUAAUCAUGGCACAGCUACAACACUGAAAUCGUUUUAAAACUAUUUGAAAAACAACACAUACAGAUUUUAAAAGAGUACCAAUACACUUCCUGUUUAUGAUGCAAUACAAAUAGAUUUUAUACCCAUUGAAAUUUUACAGGGUAACUAGAUAUUGGAGCGAGCUGUAGAAUAAAAUAAACGGAAUAGUUUGAUGGAAUAUUAAUUCAAAUAUGGAUCUAUCGAUAGUAGCAGAAGUUUUUAUUAUUGUUUUGUCUUCGAUUGUUAUUAUUUCACUGAUACCACUAUGUUUGUCCGCACAACACAAAUAUUCAGUAAUUUUUAUCAGCAUUAUUAUUGUUGAAUAUAUAUUUGAAGUGCUUCGUGUUUUAUAUUUUGUUAAAGUUUACUGGAACAAAUCAGAUUGGUUAUUGUUUGAUUUUCCGCUCAGAAGUAUGCCUUCAAUUUCAAUGACUUGUUCCGUACUUCUCGGCACAAUUAUAUUGUCAUCUGUUUCAUUCAAAAAAUCGUCAGUAAAAGUUUUUUGUUUGAUCUACGUCUUUAUAUCGCUAAUAUUUAUCAUAAUAUGGAACAAUUUCUUGGCAACCUGCUUGAUUGUUGAUCACCCUGAUCAAACCAAAAGAAUCUAUUGUGACCAUUACCUGAUAGAUUCAGAUAUCUAUGACUACUACGAAUGCAUCAACGAUGAGGAAAUAAUUACUGCUUAUCAUAUCGUCUCCAAAAGAUUCCCAUCUAAUACAGCUUUCUAUUGCUUUGAGAAUUGGACACCUUGGAGCAGUGGUUAUUUUCUGGAGUAUUUGCUAUUGAGUGUCCCGUCUUUUGCAGUACUAUACGAUAAACUAUACAAGAUGUUACGAUUUUAUGGUAAGUAGACUCUUCCUAUAUCUAUUUGUACGAAACUAAAGUGUACAUUAGCUGCUUUUAAAAUCAUCUUUCACAAAAGAAUUGACACAAUUUUAUAGCUUUUAAGAAAUUUGCAAAAUAUAUAUAGAAAGAACAACACUUUUGCUAUAUCCCAAAGUGUGGUUAAGAAAACAAAUUUAAACUAAUCGAUUAACAUUAAUUGAGCUGAACAAAAGGAUAUAAACAUUCAUCAAAGAUAUUAUGAUUAUGAUUAUGUAAACAUUGCAAAAUUUAUAAAUCCUUCACAUUGUAACAGACGAAUCAUAAACUACAUAAACAUACCCUUUGAUGUUUGUUUUUUUUUAUUUCAGAACAGAAGAAUUGUAACGAAACUUGUUCCAUCUGCCGUUUCAACAUUUCACUUUAUAACCAUACAAUGGCGCUGGCCCUUUUUAUAAUUUGGUGUGUGAGACCGACUUUUUAUUUGUUUGUUGCAUCAGGGUCCUUUUGGAUUUCGUCUUUCUGUAUUGACUUAAUUAUUAUGAUAUCGUCAGCGAUUUUUUUUAUUCUAGUUUUGAUUUACAUUCUUAAAUUCUAUCUUUUUCGUAAAUUUGUCUUUAAUGUUGAUAAUGACAGUGAAUGUAAUGUUGUCCUUACAGAAUGUACAUUUGGGAAACAAAAAGACAAAUCCAAACAUUGUGAGCAAAAUGAAUGUUAAUAAAAGCAAUCUUUCCUUAGGGUAACAAGAAUACAAUAUCUUUUAUAUUUUUCAUUUCGUCAAAAAACAUGGCUGUCAUGGCUGAUAAUAGAACAAACAGGUAAACUGCAGUUUUUGGUUAAUAUCCAAAAUGCUUAGCAUUAUUUUAUUUUUUAAUCGGAUCUCGACCACUAACUUGCAACUCGGAAGUAAACUCAAUGUUUGAUUCUAGCAAUAACCCGAAAUGGAAGUGGAGUUUAAAUUUAACGUUAACGCUGAGUCGAAGCUAGUGUUAUGCAGAUGCUCGUACUUUAAAUCGAUGAAUUUAGUCACCCUG